CUUUCCGGGGCUUACACAUGCAGUCGAACGGAAUCUUCGGAUUUAGUCGGCGGACGGGUGAGUAACGCGUGAGAAUCUAGCUCUAGGUCGGGGACAACCACUGGAAACGGUGGCUAAUACCGGAUGUGCCGAAAGGUGAAAGAUUUAUUGCCUAGAGAUGAGCUCGCGUCUGAUUAGCUAGUUGGUGUGGUAAGAGCGCACCAAGGCGACGAUCAGUAGCUGGUCUGAGAGGAUGAUCAGCCACACUGGGACUGAGACACGGCCCAGACUCCUACGGGAGGCAGCAGUGGGGAAUUUUCCGCAAUGGGCGAAAGCCUGACGGAGCAAUACCGCGUGAGGGAGGAAGGCUCUUGGGUUGUAAACCUCUUUUCUCAGGGAAUAAGAAAGUGAAGGUACCUGAGGAAUAAGCAUCGGCUAACUCCGUGCCAGCAGCCGCGGUAAUACGGAGGAUGCAAGCGUUAUCCGGAAUGAUUGGGCGUAAAGCGUCCGCAGGUGGCACUGUAAGUCUGCUGUUAAAGAGCAAGGCUCAACCUUGUAAAGGCAGUGGAAACUACAGAGCUAGAGUACGUUCGGGGCAGAGGGAAUUCCUGGUGUAGCGGUGAAAUGCGUAGAAAC
rnacentral:rRNA from 1 species